rnacentral:rRNA from 1 species
CCAGACUCCUACGGGAGGCAGCAGUGGGGAAUAUUGCACAAUGGGGGAAACCCUGAUGCAGCGACGCCGCGUGAGUGAAGAAGUAUCUCGGUAUGUAAAGCUCUGUCAGCAGGGAAGAAGAAUGACGGUACCUGACCAAGAAGCCCCGGCUAACUACGUGCCAGCAGCCGCGGUAAUACGUAGGGGGCAAGCGUUAUCCGGAUUUACUGGGUGUAAAGGGAGCGUAGACGGCAGGGCAAGUCUGGAGUGAAAGGCGGGGGCCCAACCCCGGGACUGCUCUUGGAACUGCGUGGCUGGAGUGCAGGAGGGGCAGGCGGAAUUCCUGGUGUAGCGGUGAAAUGCGUAGAUAUCAGGAGGAACACCGGUGGCGAGGGCGGCCUGCUGGACUGCAACUGACGUUGAGGCCCGAAAGCGUGGGGAGCAAACAGGAUUAGAUACCCCUGUA